UGGGGCGUAGCCAAGCGGUAAGGCAACGGGUUUUGGUCCCGCUAUUCGGAGGUUCGAAUCCUUCCGUCCCAG
rnacentral:ncRNA from 9 species